CCUGCCCCUAGAGGUCUUGUAGAUGUGGCUGCCAUGUCACAUGUGCGUCAGUAGGCAGCAGAGAGGGGAAAAGCUACAUGUAUGAUCAAUGUUCUGACCUAUAAACAUCUGAAUGAUUACUCACAUAAUAUU
ensembl:snoRNA LOC120101304 small nucleolar RNA SNORA17